GUCAAAACACAACGGUUGCUGGUAGUGUCCAUACUAUACCAGCUUCAAUGGCACAAGAACAAGUUGAAAAAGAAACUAACAAGUUUCAAGCUGUGUCUGAAGAUGUAGCAGCUGAUAUUGAUAAAUGGCAUUUUGUUAAAGAUUCAGCAGAAUAAACGAUGGAAAGGCCAAAGAUGUCAUGUACUGUAAAUCUUACAAUCAAGAAGUCAAAAUUCAACAACCAAUUUAAUAGAUGUUUUUAUGAUUUUCAAAUUUUUAUUAAUAAUUUAUCAUUCUUUUGUUUUUUCAUUAAAUUAUACAUUUUCAAUUUUUUUCAAAGUAACAGCUUCGGCCUAUGAAUACACCUGGCAAUAAAUGUCAUCCUAUUAGAAUAGCUUUUUGAAGAUGUUAUGAUAAAUUAUUAAAUUACACUGAAAUAAAAUAAUAAAGAUACUAAAAAUACCCUACCUGACGUGUGUUAUAGUACUAAAUGCUCAGUAUGUUCCAAAAUAAUUGCCAAAAAAAAACAAAAAAAAAAAACAUAUUCAGUACUACAACACAUCAGGUGGGGGAAACAUUGAUUCGUAAUACUAAAACUACUAAUUUAUGACAACCUAAUUUCUGUACAACCUUGAAGAAUUAAUGUGCUUUGAAAUAACACUUGAUUAUUACUGUUGAUUUCGUCAUAUUUUCGAAACUUUAAACAACAUGCUGUUUUCACAAAACGUAAAACCUUGAAUUGAAGCCAUGGGCUUCUUCUUUUGUUUUUUUGCAAACUUAGGAUAGGCUUCUAUUUAAAUGAAAAUUUUGGGAAUUACUACUAUAAAAACAAUAUAGGGCCACUGUAAAAUCAAUCUGUAUCAUGGAGUGUAUUACCCGACAUAAAAUCACCUAAACCUACUGUAUAAAGCAAGCAUGUUUUUAAUUUAUUUUGUUUCUUUAAAAUUAAUGUAUAGUACAGUGUACUAUUAAAAAAAAAAAAAACAAGCCCAUGCUAUCUUGAAAAAAAGAUGAAUGGGCUUAUGAGAUUAAGCACAUUUGGCUUUUAUUCGAGGUUUUAUGGUAGUAGUCCCAUUAAACGGGGCUCUCAUUUUUCGCAAGUUGUUAUAUAGUAGUUGUAAAAUUAUUGCAAGUUUAUACUUAAAUAUAUUUUUGGCAUGUUAUACCGUAAAUCAUGAUGUUUCUACAAUUUUCUGUAGAGGUUUGUGCUUAGCUGCAAGAAAUUUUCCCUAUGUACUGUAUUAUUAUGUGCAAGGGAAAAAUAUAUUAAAUUAUGGACUUUGAAAGAAUAAUAUUUUUCUGGAUCGUCGACAUGCCAUUCUUUUUUGAUUAAAAUGAACAUAAUUAUCAUUGA